AAGUCGUAACAAGGUCUCCGUUGGUGAACCAGCGGAGGGAUCAUUACAGAGUUUAACAACUCCCAAACCCAUGUGAACUUACCUUUGUUGCCUCGGCAGAGAGGUGCUACCCUGUAACCUACCCUGUAGUGAGCUACCCUGUAGCGAUCUACCCUGUAGCUACCCUGUAGCGCCUGCCUCUGCCGAUGGACCAUUAAACUCUUGUUAUUUAUUGACAUCUGAGCGUCUUAUUUUAAUAAGUCAAAACUUUCAACAACGGAUCUCUUGGUUCUG
rnacentral:misc_RNA from 1 species